rnacentral:lncRNA from 1 species
GUCUUCCUCCACUAGCAGGUUUUUUCGGAAAACUUCAUUUAUUCUGGUGUGGAUGGCAAGCAGGCCUAUAUUUCUUGGUUUCAAUAGGACUUAUUACAAGCGUUGUUUCUAUCUACUAUUAUCUAAAAAUAAUUAAGUUAUUAAUGACUGGACGAAACCAAGAAAUAACUCCUCACGUGCGAAAUUAUAGAAGGUCUCCUGUAAGAUCAAACAAUUCCAUCGAAUUGAGUAUGAUUAUAUGUGUGAUAGCAUCUACUGUACCAGGAAUAUCAAUGAACCCCAUUAUUGAAAUUGCUCAGGAUACCCUUUUUUAGCUUCUAAAAUCCAUUUCUUAGUUGAAUUCUUAUCUUACUAACUGGAAUUAAAGAAUUUAGUAGAUAUGUUCCACCCAAAAGGGGAAUGGGCUAAGGUUAUGAACUUAUAAUCUGAUGAUCAAAUCGAUUCCAUGAUUAUAAGUUCAUUCCAUUUAGGAUUAGGAGUAUGUUUUUUACAUAUCUCUCGGGGACCCCAUAUCAACCCUUUUGGUUUAGCGUCUAUUGAAUCGAGAAAUUUUAUUGAUUUAUUGAUAGAAUAUAUAUUUAACGGAUCUAUCUUUCCGAUAAUUCAAAUUGAAUCAAUGGGAUGUCCGAGUCGGGCCUAUAUGACAUGACGAUCAAUAAAAAUACUCUAAAACUCCACCUUUGUCAUAUAUUCCAUACAUAAGACUAGAUAGAUAUCAUAUUCCUAGAAUAUAAUUCACUUUGAAGAUGCCUUGGUGGUGAAAUGGUAGACACGCGAGACUCAAAAUCUCGUGCUAAAUAGCGUGGAGGUUCGAGUCCUCUUCAAGGCAUAAUAUUGAGAUCUCUUAUUGAAUAGGAAUAAGUUCGCCAGCAGAAGUUUUGGUUAUCUUAUCUAUCUAAUGAAUGGAGAGUCCAUUUUUCUGUACUUAUUGGUCGUGAAUAUCUGAAUAGGACAAACCACUCUUUGUUUGCUUCAGAACAAAACAAUUAGAGUUAGGCUCGGUCAACGGGAAUCUGUAUUAUCUAUAUUAGGGGAUCCUUUCAAUUGAAAGAUCCCCAUAUCGACUUGAGAUAACGAGAAAGAAAGUAUCUAUUUUAUUUAGUUAUUCAGUUAAACCAAUCAUUCGUUAUUGGAACAGAUAGUAACAACCAUCUCCUCCGGGAAAAGCCAUCUUUUUCUCAACAAUGUCUUUGUAAUUUGAGCCAAUAGGGUUCCAUUAGAUAGGAACAGAUUUGAUAAAUAUUGAUAACUCUCGGAUAGAGUAGUAGAACGAAACAAUUCAUUUGAGAAUGAACUAUUGGUUCUAAACUGUCUCUGUCGAUCAAUCAACAAUUCGAAAUUCUGUUCUGGCAUAUUCUUCCUAAACCAGGGUUUAUUUAGAUAUUUCCAAUAAAUUUUUUUUGUUUGGCAAGUCAAAAGUCUAUUUGACAUCUCCUCAUCUGCAACCAAUUCUCGAUGUGAAAACACAGAUACAGAAGGAUCAUCUUGGAAUAGCAAAAAGAGUGGAUCCGAAGGGUCCCAAAUGAAUUGGCUUAUUCGAAAAACGCCCUGUUCUUUGAAAGAUCUUUUUUGUGUCUGGUACUCCAUGGUUCCAUCCUGCAAGAACUCCGAAUCAUUCUCUUGAAGCUCACCCUCUUCAUCAUAACUGAUCUGCUUGUCCCAAAAUGACCUUUCCCAAUAGGGAAAUCCGAAUUCAUUGGACCUUUCGAUACAAUCAUCAAAUAGAAAUUCCCAAGGGCGCCAUAUUCUAGGAGCCCAAACUAUGUGAUUCAAUAAAUCCUCCUCUAGCGGGUCGAGGACUCCUUCCCCUUCUUCGAACCCCGAUUCAUUUUUUUCAUAGAGAAAUCUAUGAUCAAGGAUAGAACGAGAUCCAUUUUGAAUCAUAUUGAUAGGAUUCCUUGGUUCGGGCCUAAGAAGAAAUGUUACUCCAUCAUUCUCAAAAGGACUUCCUGUCUGUGAGGAUCCCAGCAGAGCACCUUCUAUUUCUAAUAGCCCAUGAACUAGAUCAGAAUCAUUAUAAAGGAGUCUAUAAGAAGUGAUACCAUCAUUUUUUUCAUUAGGUCCGGUUAGAGACCAAAGGUUUUGAGCGACGGAUCCGGCAGAACAACUCAAAAGAUAAAGAAGUAUCGUUAAUUUCUUCAUGCUUGUUCCAAGUUCCAAGUACCAUUUGUACAAAUCAGAAUCCACCCCGUUACAUGAUUUCUUCUUCAUAUAGAUAGAUAUAGGAUCUAUGGAAAAAUUACUUAGAAGUAGAUUUUGUGAAACAGCCCUUCCUAUCUGAUAGAAAAGUAUACCAUGAUCCUCAACCGAUCUUAUCUGAGAUCUAAAAUCCCAAGUUUGUCUAUGAAGAGCGUGUCUAAUUAUAUUAGUGUCUAUAAUGGAUUUUUUUUGUAUAAUACUAAUCGAUAGCGCCUCAUUGGUAAGUGCUACAAGAUCUCGUAUGUCAGGUGGAGAUCAUAUUCACGCUGGUACUGUAGUAGGUAAACUGGAAGGAGAAAGGGAUAUUACUUUAGGUUUUGUUGAUUUACUACGUGAUGAUUUUGUUGAAAAAGAUAGAAGUCGCGGUAUUUUUUUCACUCAGGAUUGGGUUUCUUUACCUGGUGUUCUGCCUGUUGCUUCAGGUGGUAUUCAUGUUUGGCAUAUGCCUGCUCUGACCGAGAUAUUUGGAGAUGAUUCUGUACUUCAAUUCGGUGGAGGAACUUUAGGACACCCUUGGGGAAAUGCACCUGGUGCCGUAGCGAAUCGAGUAGCUCUGGAAGCAUGUGUACAAGCUCGUAAUGAAGGACGUGAUCUUGCUCGUGAGGGUAAUGAAAUUAUCCGUGAAGCUACCAAAUGGAGUCCUGAAUUAGCUGCUGCUUGUGAAGUCUGGAAGGAGAUCAAAUUUGAAUUCCCAGCAAUGGAUACUAUUUAAUCCAGUAAUUAUCAUUCGUUCUAUUAAUUUCAAUUAAACUCGGCCCAAUCUUUUACUAAAAGGAUUGAGCCGAAUAAAAUACACAAUACAAAAAUACUUCUUGUAUCUAGAAUGAAUCCUAUGGAUCUUUCCGAUUGGUAUAUUUUUUCUAUUUCAUUUCUAUUUUUUGAUUUGGAAUAGAUAUAGUCUAAUUAAUAAUUAUAGCAUUCUAAUUGAAUAUCAUAAUAUAAUAGAAUGAAUGAAUUAAAUAGAAAUAAGUUAGAUUAAAAAAAAAAAAUUAGAAUAGAAAUAUUUUUAUAUUUGUUUUCUCUAUUGUAUUUUUUUUUUUUCAACAUUGACAACAGUGUAUCAAACAAAUAUAAUACGAUCGUGAAUAAAAGGAUGGAUUGACUCAUGUUACAUAGAUUUAUUUUUACUUCGUCAAAUACAAAUAAUGGAUUGUUGUAUUUAGUUUGUAUCAAACAAGAAGUUUUUUCAUUGUAAUUUAAUGUAAUAUGCAACCUUUUUUUAAUAUGAAAGAAUUCUAUCUUUUUUUUAUUUCGAUUGGAUAUACACAUCCUUCUAUUUUUUUUUUUUAGGGUUGCUAACUCAAUGGUAGAGUACUCGGCUUUUAAGUGCGACUCCAUUUUUUACACAUUUCUAUGAACUAAUUGGUUCAUCCAUACCAUCGGUAGGGUUUGUAAGACCACGACUGAUCCAGAAAGGAAUGAAUGGAAAAAGCAGCAUGUCGUAUCAAUGGUGAAUUCUAAAAAUUUUUAUUGGACCCGGCCCAAAUUUUCGUUUGAAUUGUUGGCUCGGAACAAAUGAAUUCAGUUGGGUUUAAUUAAUAAAAGGAUAGAGCUUAGAUGCUCCAAUUAUAGGGAAACAAAAAGCAACGAGCUUUCAUUUUUUAUUUGAAUGAUUACCACAUCUAAUUAUACGUUAAAAAAGGAUUAGUGCUUGCUGUGGAAAAAGUUUUUCCAACGAAUGGAUUAAGGAUUUUUGUUAUGAGUCCUAAUUAUUAGCUAUUCUCCAUUAUGUUAUGGGGUAGCAAUAAAUGUGUAGAAGAAAGAGUAUAUUGAUAAAGAUAUUUUUUUCCAAAAUCAAAAGAGCGAUUGGUCCAAAAAAUAAAGGAUUUCUAACUAGCUUGUUGUCCUAGAACAAUUAGAUGGAACAAGCGAGCGGAGAUAGUCCAUUAAUGGGUUUUAACUUGUUUUCUAGGUAUCUAUUCAUAUAUAUAUUUUUUUUUUUCAAUUCUAAUAUAUAUAUAGAAUACCUUGUUUUGACUGUAUCGCACUAUGUAUCAUUUGAUAAUCCAAUGAAUCUCUGAUCCUUUGACCAAAUAGAAUUUCUAAAAUGAAGGAAUAUCAAGUAUAUUUAGAACGAGCUAGAUCUCGCCAACAGGACUUCCUAUACCCACUUAUUUUUCGGGAGUAUAUUUAUGGACUUGCUUAUAGUCAUAAUUUUAAUAGAUCCGUUUUUCUGGAAAAUGUAGGUUCUGACAGUAAAUAUAGUUUACUAAUUGUAAAACGUUUAAUUACUCGAAUGUAUCAACAGAAUCAUUUAAUCAUUUCGGCUAAUGAUUCUAACAAAAAUCCAUUUUGGGGCUAUAAUAAUAAUUUUUAUUCUCAAAUAAUAUCAGAGGGUUUUGCCAUCGUGGUGGAAAUUCCAUUUUUCCUAGAAUUAAGCUCUUCCUUAGAGGAGGCAGAAAUCAUAAAAUCUUAUAAAAAUUUGAGAUCAAUUCAUUCCAUUUUUCCCUUUUUGGAGGAUAAAUUUACAUAUUUCAAUUAUGUGUCAGAUAUACGAAUACCAUAUCCUAUCCAUCUGGAAAUUUUAGUUCAAAUCCUUCGAUACUGGGUGAAAGAUGCCCCUUUUUUUCAUUUAUUACGAUUGUUUCUUUAUAAUUUUAGUAAUUGGAAUAGUUUUAUUACUACCAAAAACUCGAUUUCUACUUUUUCAAAAAGUAAUCCGAGAUUAUUCUUGUUCCUCUAUAAUUUUUAUGUAUGUGAAUAUGAAUCUAUCUUCCUUUUUCUACGUAAUAAAUCCUCUCAUUUACGAUUAAAAUCUUUUAACGUUUUUUUUGAACGAAUUUUUUGUUAUGCAAAAAGAG